UUGUGUUGUCCAGCCUGAUAGGCUAUUUUUUUUUUUUUUUUUAAUGGCGAUGUAGUAAUCUUGCUUUGUUGCCCAGGCUGUUCUGGAACUCCUGGCUUCAGGUGUGUGCCACUGUGCCUGGCCCAGUUGCUCUUUACAUGGCGGAAUAUCAGAGGUUAAAGACUUGGUAAAAAUUCAUGCGGUGCAAUAAACCAUGUAUUACAUAAUAGGGGUGACACUUGUUAACUUCUCCCAGGCUCAGUUUCCUCAUGUGUAAAAUAGGUGAAUAGUAUCUACCCUCCAGGAGUUGUACAAGGCUCAUGUAUACAUAGUGUAUGUGAAUGUGCUGUAUGGGUGCAAGGGGUUGCAGAAGUGAUAAUGUGUGUAAACAGAUGGUGUGGUUGGCUCAUUGGAGGGGUGGAGGCCCUAAGUGAGAUGACCUCUGAGGUUUACUCUUCCUAGAGUAGUUGGAAAGCAAUUCAGCCUCAGUGGUAAGCUCUCAGCUCUUCUAGGGCAGGUCCCUCUUCCACCACCCUGUGUCUGCAAGCAUUUUGGUAUUAAGUUGUUUUUCUAAGGCUGGGUGCGGUGGCUCACGCCUGUAAUCCCAGCACUUUUGGAGGCCGAGGUGGGUGGAUCACCUGAGAUCAGGAGUUCGAGACCAGCCUGACCAACAUGGUGAAACCAUAUCUCUACUAAAAAUAAAAAAUUAGCUGAGUGUGGUGGUGUGCGCCUGUAAUCCCAGCCAGCUACUUGGCAGGCUGAGGCUGGAGAAUCGCUUGAACCCGGGAGGCGAAGGUUGCAGUGAGCUGACAUCAUGUCAUUGCACUCCAGCCUGGGCAACAAGAGUGAAACUCUGUCUCAAAUAAAAAAUAUUAUUUUUCUAAAAAGCUCUUAUUUUAUUGUGAAACACUUAAAUUAGCAAAUCUCAGGCUUGCUGAAUAAGGCUUCCCAGGCAAACCACAUCCCGCAUGUGCAAAUGUCUGGUGACACAGUGCUUCAUUUUUUUCCACUAGUACUUACUACUACCUGACAUUAUAGUGUAAGUUUACUUGUCUAUUUGUGUAUGGUCUGCCUCUCCUAUGAGAAUGUGAGCUGCAUGAGGUCAGGACAUUGUUUUGUUCACUCAUGAAUUCCCAGCACCCAGGACAGUGUCUGGCAUGUAGUGAGUACCCAGUAAAUAUUUGUGGAAUGAAUGAAUGAAUACUUAAGUGGGUGGGAAGUUCUUGGACCUUAGUCUAGACCCAUGGUUCUCAAAGAGUGGUCCUGGGACUCUUGGGGAUUCCUGAGAUCCUUUUAGGGAUCUGUGAGGUCAAAGUAUUUUUAUAAUAAUAGUAAACUAUUUGUCCUUUCACUCUCAUUCCCUCAUGUAUGCAAAUCUGAGUGAACUGAUAUUUUCCAAAUAACGAAUGCAUAAGGCCACAAAGCCAUGCAGGGUAAAAAGAGCUACGAACAAAAGUUUUCUAGAGAAGAAUUUGGAGGAAAGAGAGUUUAUUCUAGUGAACAGAUCGCAAACUGGGAGAUGCUGCGUUGGUGUAAAAUGAAGGUGCAUUCCAGAGAGCAAAGAGAGAAUCUAGUUUUUUUUGUUGUUGUUGUUUUGUUUUUUAAAUUUUGAGACGGAGUCUUGCUCUGUUUCCCAGGCUGGAGUGCAGUGGAGCGGCGUGAUCUUGGCUUAUUGCAACCUCUGCCUCCGGGUUCAAGCGAUUCUCCUGCUUCAGCAUCCCGAGUAGCUGGGACUACAGGCACUUGCCACCACGCCCACACACCCUACUAAUUUUUGUAUUUUUAGUAGAGACGGGGUUUUACCAUGCUGGCCAGGCUUGUCUUGAACUCCUGACCUCAAGUGAUCUACCCGCCUCAGCCUCCCAAAGUGCUGGGAUUACAGGCAUGGCGGAAUCUAGGUUGUUAUAGCAAAAUUUUUGGCCCAUGUCCCCAAUCAGGUUUGAUUAUGCAAAUGAAGGGGGGGGGGGUCAAACUUGCUUAGUUCUGAUUGGCUGACACAGCUGAGUUCUGAUUGGUGAUACAGCUGAGCCCUGAUUGGUUGAUACAGCUGAGCUCUGAUUGGCUGAAGCAGACGGGCUCUGACUGCUUGUUUCAUGUGAGCUCUGAAAGUCCCAAAGUCAGAAGGGUGUGGGGUUUUGGGAAACUCGGAGUAUGUAGUGUGACCUCUAGUCAGCAAAUGGCCACUUGGCUGUAUUUUAAAUUUAGGUACACUUUGCCGCUUGGGGUCCAUCUUGAGGGGAUUGCCUUUUUCAGGUUCAUGUUUGUUCACAGAGCCAUUCAAAGUGCAGUGGAUACAUUAUAAAUUGUACAAUUAUUUGUAAUUAAAAAAAGAACAACAGCAAAAAAACCAAAGUGCAAUGGAUGCAAAGACCAAUGGAUUUUCAUGUAACAGAAUAUGAAAAGUUCACCGACACAGUUUCACAUUCCACGAUGCAGAGAAGUUUUUAAUAACUGCCAUCCACAUGUUGAGUUUUGGUGUAACAGCAAAGAAAAAUAUCCACAACUACUGAAAAGGCUGAGAAAAUACUCCCUUUCUCAACUGCAUGUUUUUGUGUGAGUCCAGAAUUUCUUUAUAUUAUUGUAACAGAGUGAACGCAGAAGCAAAUAUGAGAAUCCAGCUGUUUCUUACUAAGCAGACAUUAAAGAGAUUUGCAAAUAUCUAAAAUAAUGCUAUCUCUCUCACUUUUUUUUUUUUUGUAUUGGAAACAUCAUUUUCCAUACAAUGUCAUUUAUGUUAACAGGUGACAGAUUUAUUUAUUUUUAUUUUUUAUUUUUUUGAAACGGAGUUUCACUGUGUCACCCAGCCACCCAGGCUGGAGUGCAAUGGUACAAUCUUGGCUCACUGCAACCUCCGCCUCCCGGGUUCAAAGGAUUCUCCUGCCUCAGCCUCCUGAGUAGCUGGGAUUACAGGCGCCCGCCACCACACUUGGCUAAUUUUUGUAUUUUUAGUAGAGACGGGGUUUCACCAUGUUGGCCAGGCUGGUCUCGAACUCCUGACCUCAGGUGAUCCACCCGUCUCAGCCUCCCAAAGUGCUGGGAUUGCGGGCAUGAGCCACCAUGCCCAACAACAGAUUUAUUAUAAGCAAAAGCUCUUUGGGGUCCUCAAUAAUUUUAAGAGCAUAAAGGAGACCAAAAAGUUUAAGAUGUGCUGGUCAAGACAGAGCCCUGUGGACUAUGGAAGGGAUUGAAGCCAUUCUGUGGAUCCUAUAGGCUUCUUUUCUAAGCGAAUGAUUAGUGUUUAUUCAGUAGCCCUGUGUCAGGUGGUUUCUGUAUGAAUGAGAGGUUUGCCUUUCCAGCUGCGGCGGGGCUUUGGGCAAGUUGCUGUCUCUGUGCUCCUUCGUUUGCUCAUGUGUUAAAAACUGGCCCAGGGGUCGGGGGGUGGGGUGGUAAGAAAAUGGGUUGAGUCUCCUUCAUCUCUAACAUUUUCAUAUUUAAUUCUUGGAACCUCCACGUGUUAGCUCUGUUCACUCCUCUGAAAGAGAUUGGUGAGAAUUGAAACAGUGAAAGAAGAUUUUAGAGAAAAGGUGACAUGUAAAGCUGAACAAGGGUUGCCUGUGAGGCAGGCAAAAAGGACAUUUAUUAUAUUUAAAAAAAAAUUUUUUUUUGAGACGGAGUCUCUGUCGCCCAGGCUGGAGUGCAGUGGCAUGAUCUCGGCUCAUUGCAACCUCUGCCUCCUGGUUUAGCGAUUCUCCUGCCUCAGCUUCCCGAGUAGCUGGGAUUAUAGGCACACACCACCAUGCCUGGUUAAUUUUUGUAGUUUUAGUAGAGACGGGGUUUCACCAUGUUGACCAGGCUGGUCUGGAACUCCUGGCCUCAGGUGAUCCACUCGCUUCGGCCUCCCAAAGUGUUGGGAUUACAGGCGUGAGCCACCGUGCCCAGCCCAGAAAGGACACUUAUAUGUGGGGACCACUGCAUCUUGCAGAUGGGUAAACUGAGGUAGCGACAGGUGAAGGCUCAGUUACAUUCAUCCUGGGUCCCAGACUGUCUCCAACCUGUAGCCUGAAGCUUUGUUUCCUUCCUCCCUAGCCCAGGAUGACAGCAGUGACCUUCCAUGGGAUCUUUUCCUGGGAUUUAUUGAGCCACUGAGGUCAUUGGCCUCAGGCCACCUGCGUCUCUCGACUGACCAGUUAUUCUUCAAGGAAGACACUGUGUGUGUGUGUGUUUUAGUUGCUCUUCUAUAACUUCCGGGUGCUCUUCUCAGAGCAGCAGUGCUUUAAAAAAUGUCUGUGUGUGUGUUUCCCCACUUUGAGCCAUGAAAUAUGUUCAGUCUGUUUUUUUUCUAGUCCAAAGUAUUUCCAUAUCAUUGUGCACCUGGGGAAAUGCAUACUUUGAUAGAAAAUGGACAAAAAAGUUGUAUUGGUAGAAUUAAAUGAACUAAUGCAUGUCAAGCACUGAGCACUUUGACUCAAUAGUAAUAAUAAUAAUAAUAAUAACACAAUGUAUCAUUAUGAUAGUGUUAUAUCUCUUUAGCAAUCUUGAUAGUUGACUUGUAUAAUUCACAGUACAGAAGCUUAUUCUAAAACUAAAAUGCUUUGGUUCUCCUGUGUGCCAGGAACAGCAGUAAACUUUAUGUCCUAAGAUUAGUAUGGUUGGAAAUGCAUGUGGCAGUGGUUCCCAAACACUGGUGUGCAGAUGGAACACAGCCCGUGAAGUUUUCAGCGGUCCUUGUUAAAAAGAGAUAAAGGAAAGAGAUAAAGGAUAAAGUGCUGAGAUUCUCGUGAAGCUAAAUGAAGCUAAAUAAACAUCCUUCAAUGAGAAUAUGUCCUUCCUAUAGUUUUUGGAGGAAAAUAUUUCCUUUUGUGAGACAAAAGUGUUAGUAGGUGGUGAUUGAAAAAAUUCGGAAAGUCACCUGUUUCCUCAGAAUUGCUUUACGACAAGACUAAGUGAACCAACAAGAAUGAAGUCAGCUUUUUGGAAAUACCUCCCAAGAGGCCUUGCUCUUUAUGCAGGACUGUUAUUUCAAAGGAUGGUGUCCCCUCCCCAACCAUAAGAACAAUCCAAACCUGUUUUCUGGGGCCCAGAGUUUGCUGAGGAUAGGACUGGGCUGAAGCUUUCAUUGCUGGUCUGUGGGGUAGAGGUAAGCCUCCCUGUGAAGCUGGUAGGUUACAUGCUUUGGCAGCAUGAAUUGUUAUUUCUGGAGUCCCCUGGGUGCUGUUUAGAAAUGCAGGUAGGUGGCUGGGUGCGGUGGCUCAUGCCUGUAAUCCCAGCAUUUUGGGAGGCCAAGGCAGGCAGAUUACUUGAGCUCAGGAGUUCGAGACCAGCCUGGGCAAUAUAGUGAAACCCCAACUCUACAAAAAUACAAAAAUUAGCCAGGCAUAGUGGUGCAUGCCUGUAAUCCCAGCUACUCAGUAGGCUGAGGCAAAAGAAUUGCUUGAACCUGGGAGGCGGGGGUUGCAGUGAGCCGACAUCGCACCACUGCACUCCAGCCUGGGCCACAGAGCAAGAUUUCAUCUCAAAAAAAAAAAAAAAAAAAAAGAAAAAGAAAAAAAGAAAUGUAGGUAGGUGCUUCUAGCUACUGCUGUGGGAUAGCAAGGUAGUUACCAAACUGAUAAGGGUAGCAUCUUACUUACUGCUGAAAAAUUCAGUGUCUUUUUUCUUUUUUUUUGAGACAGAGUCUUGCUCUGUUGCCCAGGCUGGAUUGCAGUGGCGAGAUCUUGGCUCACUGCAACUUCUGCCUCUUGGGCUCAAGAUAUUCUCUUGCCUCAGCCUCCCAAGGAGCUGGGAUUAUAGGCACUUGCUACCACACCCGGCUAAUUUUUGUAUUUUUAGUAGAGACAGGGUUUCACCAUGUUGGCUAGGCUGGUCUCAAACUCCUGACCUCAGGUGAUCCACCCACCUCAGCCUCCCAAAGUGCUGGGAUUACAGGCGUGAACUACUGCGCCGGGCUUGAGUUUGACUUUUUGAAAAUAUUCCACCUAUAAGUGAAGUUGUGCAGUGUUUGUCUUUAUGUGUUUAGCAUAUUUCACUCAGCAUAAUGUCCUCCAGGCUCUGAUGGGCACUUGGCUUGUUUCCAUGUCUUGGCUAUUGUGAAUAGUGCCUCAAUGAACAUGGGCAAAUUGCCGUGUUGAGUUAAGGAAGCUCUUUUCCAGUCUGAGUUUGCAAAUAGCUUUUCAUAUAUGAGCGUUGAAUAUUAUCAAAUGCUUUUCUGCAUUCACUGAGAUGACUUUAUGUAUUUAAAAAAAUCUGAUGGCCUAUAUUUUCUAUUUUUAAACUACUCGUGUAUUCCUGGUAUAAAUCAACUCACUGUGUUACUCUCGUUUUUAUACAUAGCUGGAUUCGUUUUCACUAAUAUUUUGUUUGAGAUUUUUGCCUCAGUGAUCAUGUAUGUGAUUGCUCUGUAACUUUUCAUUCACAUUUUGUCCUUGUCUGUCCUGGUAUCAAAGUUAUAUUGGCUUCAUAGAAUGAGGGAAAUGUUUAUCCUUCUAAAAAUAUUUAGUAGAGUGGUCUAAGAUGAGAGUGUAAGUGAGUAAACUUUCUCAAUCAAAUAUUUUGUGAUAUGUUUCAGGAAUUUCAUUAGAUGUUUGGUUCAAUUUUUAAAACAUUUCUUUUUAUUAUUUAAAACUUUUAGCAUUGGUGACCAUCCAUGUGCUGCUUUUAUUGCCAGCUUAACUUGUUUUUAUGACAUCUUCAGGAAGAAAACCUCUGCUGUCUAUUUAAUGGAGAUGAAUUGUUAAACUUUUACCAUUUGCAACUAUACGUCUCUAUGAGUCAGACUUUUAUUGAUCGUGUACAACUAAAUGAAACCCGGAAAUGAAGGAAAUGUAACAAGCGAUUUUAUGUAUUUUUUGUUUGCUCAAAUUGCCUUUAUAAAAUAGAUUGAUACUCUAUAAUAAGUAAAUGUUGUGAAUUUGGAAUUUUCAAAUUGAGGCUUACUAAUAAUGUUAUCUAUUUUAUCCGAGUUUAUUUCAUUUCUUAUAAAAUGUAAUUUCUCAAGAAGAUUUUGCUGCCCUAAAAAAAAAAAAAAGAAAAAGAAAAAGACAAAAAGGGAAGCCACUGGUUGCUAAUGGCUCCUGCGGCUCUGACGAUCCUCGAUGAAGUGUUCUUUGAUUAAGUGUCAAGAUGAGUGGUGCAGACCUUUGACAGACACAUGAUUGUGGUUGGAGAAAGCCCAGCAUUAACUGCUGACCUUGCCAUCUGUGAGCAGGUGUUGAAUGAGCUCAGUUCCCUCCCAGCCCUUCUUUUUCCCUGGUGGGUCAUUGGCUCCUGAGUAAGAUAGAUGCAUGCAAUAGAAGAGCUGUUAAUAGCAUUUACUCUUUCUUAAUCCUUAUUAAUCCCAUUCAUAUUUCAGUGUCUGAAGCUUGGCAGGAUGUCAAGAAGCCACAGUGCAAGUAGGGAAAUUGAACAGCAAGGACCAAGUACAAUGUUCCCCUGAUAUUUAAUUUGCUAAAACAUGUAAGAAGAAGAAAGUUCUUACAUUGUUAGGUCCCAAAGAGAGUGCCACCAAGCAACCUUGCCAAAACCACCUUGCUGGAGCUUCUUAUUAUCUUUUUUUAGCGAAUGGCAAUAAAGUCAUUUUGUCAAGCUAACCAAGUACCAUAAUGAGAUCUUUGUGGCAUAAAUUAACCGAGUGGGGAAAUAACUUUGACAGGGGUUGAUGUCCGAAAUGAAGUGUUGUUUGUCUGAUGUCAAGCCUGUGGGGAAUUUGAACCUUGCACUCUUUCCUGAUAAGACAUUAACCUCUGCAUGGGCUUGCUGGCCCAACCUUUUGAUUAACUGGACCUAUUUUCUUGUAGAUCUAAUACAAGGAUUUGGAGAACCCCAGUAAAAUGCUGGAGGGACUUAGACUCUGAUCUCUAUUGGGAUGUGUCAAAUUGGAGAUUUGGUGGGCUUUUCUGCCGUGUUUACUGCGAUGGGUGUGUGUAUUUGAAGUCUGUAUGUGGCCUUUAAGGAUGUGUUUGGGGCGCAGAAGUUCUGGGUAACGUUUGAGAGAGGCUCUCAAACGUUAGAUUUUGGAUUAGACUUUGGGUCAACUUCAGGGUAGCAAGAGGAUGGAUACCCGAGAACAUGUUUUCUCCGACUUCCUGGCCCCUGUCUUCUAAGUUCUGGGUAGUGAUGGGUCUUUGGAGGGGCAGCCCUUUCUGCCAUGUGAAUCUUUGCCCAGCCCUGAGGGGGUGAGGGCUGGCCAAGGGAGCCGGGCCAUGGUCGGAGAGAAGGCUGAGCCUCCUUGAGAAGCAUUUGGAGUUUGAGUCAGUUGUGUCUUUUAAAAAAAUUACCCAUUUUGGACUUGUCUGUGGAAGCAAUUAGAGAGAUCACAGGACCGUUUCUGAUUCCCAAUUCUGUCCAGUGUCUAUUCAGAAAAAUAGAAAACAGUCAACUGGAACAGGGGAUUAUUUGAGCACACACAGAGUCCUGUUGUCUCAGCAGCGUGCCCUCAGACAAUUUGCCUUUUAGUGAAGUUUAAGCCCAUGAAAGGAAAUAAAAAGUGUUUUAUUAGAUGGCAAAGAAAGAUGGACUGGACUUAUGAGACUUUGAGAAUUUUUGCUUUUUCUUUGUUAAUGCAAACUUUGGAAGAGAGCAACUCUUUCUGUAAUGCAAUUUAUUUGUACAAUGUGGUAGUUAUUGUUAAUAGCUAAUAAUGAUCUUCAACUGGGUAAAAUACCAUUGUGUGUUUGAGAGGGAGAGAGAGAGAGAAGGGUAGGAGGAGAGGGAGAAUAUCUUCUGUUCAAAGCCAAAUGUUGCUACUACUGAAGACGAGUGCACCUUAUGGGUAUAACCAGCUAUAAUGUUUAUCAAACAUAUACUUUUUUUUUUUUUUUUUUGAGAUGGAGUUUUUGCUCUGUCACCCAGGCUGGAGUGCAGUGGCAUGAUCUCAGCUCACUGCAACCUCCACCUCCCAGGUUCAAGUGAUUUCUCCUGCCUCAGCCUCCCUCGUAGCUGGGAUUGCAGGUGCACGCCACCACACCCAGCUAAUUUUUGUAUUUUUAGUAGAGACAGGGUUUUGCCAUGUUGGCCAGGCUGGUCUUGAACUCCUGACCUCAGGUGAUCCACCCACCUCAGCCUCUGAAAGUGCUGGGAUUAUAGGCAUGAGCCACCAUGCCCUGCCUCAAGCAUCUAUUUUGUGCAGAAGUUCUUUCCUGCCACAGCCGUGGUUGGCCACAUUGCUCCCCCAUGAAUAUGUGGAAACUGACACUUCAGGAGAAUUGGUGGCUCACCCAUGGCAUUCAGCUAGUGGGUUAUGGGGCAGAGACUCAAACUCAGCCCUGACUCCCACAGCAUUGUUCUUUUUCUGUAAAUUGCUGACUUACUCAGUUGAUCACAGUUCAUUGCCGUUUACAGAAUUUGUCUGCACCCAUUGUGCCUUUUAAGUGUCGAUAUUCUUUCCUGAAAGCACACAAAGCAAAGCACGGCUCUGCAGUGUGACCCACCGUGUGCUGUGUGGACAGAUGAUGCUGGUCAGCAGGCAGGAAAACGAUCUGCCAGGCGCUGGGGGUGGGGCAGAGGAUUGUUCUUCCUGACCUUGGUAUGAAAACCGUGUGGAGUUCUUAGUGAGGAAAAUCACUCUUAGCCCAAAUUCCUGCGAAGGCCGAUGGGAUUGUUUUUAAGAUUUGUUGGAUUGCUGGAUUUGUUGAAGGGAGAACUGGAAGAAGCUAUCAGAAGUUUACAGGGCAUCGGAGGGAGACACUCCCUUUGGCCACUUUCUCCACCAAAACUAUCCUGGUUUUAGCCCAACAGUUUCCCACCCCCGCCCCCACCCCCACAACCUUGUUUGUUUAAAGACCAUUAAAGAACGUCUUCAAUUUAUUCUGGAUUGAGUUUUCCUCAAACCAAACCACCCCUCAGUUCACCCCCCAGAGCUGUUCAGGCCCUUCCUGGGGGCUUGUGGCUGUGGCUGCCUCAGAUCAGAGCAGACCCUGGGCUGCAUCAUCCUUCCACAUUGUCUCUCUAAAGUACCUGAAGCCAGUAGUUCUCAAACUUUGGAGAGGGUUUUGAGUCACCUCGAGAGCUGAUAAAGAACAGAGGCCCAGACUGAAGUUGAAUAGUGCUGGGCCUUUGUUUUUACCAAGUUCCCUGGAUGGUUCUGCUACCUCCUAGCCUGUGAGAACUACUCCUUUGUGAUUUCUUGCCAUUGAAAUUUUUUCUCACCUUCUUCUUGGCUUGAUUGCUCUUCUGUGUUCCUUCCGGCUGUCCAAAUCAAAUUUAAUUUUCACACCCAGACCUUGUCCCUGCUCUCAUCCUUCAGCCCACCCUCCUGUUCCCCAUCCAGCCAGACCCCCUGCCAGUCAGUUCAAGUGCUAGGCAUGGGGUAUCGAGUCUCAGGCCAGUCCACAGACAUUCCAGCACCUGGUGGUAAGAGGUGAGUGCUGCGUGGACCCACUGAGGAAGGCUCUGGCUGUGCUGGGGGAGGGGAGUUUAUGCUCGUUCUCAUAGAAGGAUGAGCAGGAAUUAAGUGGGCAAAGGAGGGAGUGAGGAAGCUCUCACUUUCUAGGUAGUAGGACCAGCAUGAACCAAGGUAGGGGAUGACAGCAUGGCUCAUUCAGGGAAUUUGAGGUAUGUUGAUACAUGGAAAAAUGUACCUGAAAUGUGAGUCCUGCUUUUGUGACUCACCCUUUCCUUUACAUAAGCAUUGAUUUACAUCUGUUGUUUUUUAUAAUAGUGUGUAAGUUGAAAAGUUCAGAACAAGAUCAAGUGGAGACAUAAAAUGGUAAGAUGUGAAAAGUUGUUCUUGCCAGAUUAAAUGGUUCCACCUGAAGAAAUUUUUUUUUUUUUUUUUUGAGAUGGAGUCUCACUUUGUUGCAUGGGCUGGAGUGUAGUGGCGUGAUCUCAGCUCACUGCAACCUCCGCCUCCCGGGUUCAAGCAAUUCUCCUGCCUCAGCCUCCCGAGUAGCUGGGACUACAGGUAUACACUGCCAUGCCCGGCUAAGUUUUUGUAUUUUAGUAGAGACGGGGUUUCACCGUGUUGCCCCAGGCUAGUCUCAAACUCCUGAGCUCAGGCAAUCCCCAGCCUCAGCCCCCCAAAGUGCUAGGAUUACAGGCAUGAGCCACCGCACCCGGCCUGAAUUUUUUUUUGUUUUGUUUAUUUAUUUCUUGGUUUUGCUAGCCUUUAAGCAACCCAAGACUAGGGGGCUUUCACUCCGUCCCUAGAGAGCUCAAAGGGCCUGACUUAGGGGACACAGUCAGUGAAGGGGAUGAAUGAAUGAGUUUCAGACCCAGGUGUUCUGGAUAAGUCACUUUACCUUUCUGGGCCUUUUUCCUCAACUCCAAACAGAGGAUGUCGGUAUAGACAAUCCCUAGGAUCUUGUGCCCUUUAUGACUGAUCACACAGUUCCACUGCUUGCCCUUGAGGCUUUGGUGUCCACGCAUGCCUAUUCAGCCUGACCCACAAGAGGCCAGGCCAGCUCUGUUCCAGGCCCUGAAAAUCCCAUUAAAACUCCACUCACUAGCCAGUUCCCCGGGGGUGCUGAAUCAGCAUUUAAUGGGGAAGGCCACGAGCUAGGCUCUGGUGGGUAGGAAGUGUGUGACUUCUCUUACCUCAACAGUUUCUACUGUAACUAGCGGGAUAAGGUAAAUCUAUGGAAAUGCAAGGCUUAUGCUGAGGCUCACAGAGUGGGCCAGGCUGCAUAUGUCCUGGACACCACGGGGCCUGCUUUGAGAAGGCAGCUGUGGUCCCACAGCCUUGACCACCAGGCACCAUCCUCUGUUGCCAGUGGACCCACAUUUCAAAUCAUUUUAUCUCUUAAAUAACCUGUAUUCAUUUGUUCCUUCCCAUGUCUUAUCCACCAAAAAUCUCCAAUUGGAAAUUCAGACAAGGAUUGAGACCCUGUGUUCUUAAAUUGGGUUGAUUGAAAUCUAGAAACAAUGAUAGUAAUAACAGAGUUAUCUUCUCUCGAACAUCUGCCUCAUGCCUGAUGUUAUUUCGCUUAAUUCUCUCAAGGGCUCGAGGAGAGUCCUGCCAUAAUCCUUCCUUUCAGAGAGGAAGAUCGAAAUUUAGCUCAGAUCUCAAGCUAGUAAUCAUCAGAACCAGGAUAUAGAAUCAGGACUAGACCACAUGGUCCCUGCUCUGAGCUGCUGCGGGUCCAUCCCUGUGGCUCUGUCCAGGGUAAAUGGAUGAUUCAGGGGAAGGGUCAGCAAACUAUAGCCCAUGGGCCAAAUGCAGCCACUGCUUGUUUUUGGGUGGCCCAAGAGCCAAGAAUAGUUUCCACAUUUUUAAAUGGGUGGAGAAAACAAAAUCUACAAAGAAUAAUGUUUCAUGACACAUGAAAAUUAUGUAAAAUAUACAUUUAAUGCUUGUAAGUAAAGUUCUGUUGGAACUCAGCUACAGUCGUUAGUUUACAUCAUCGAUGGCUGGUUUCACAGUACAAGGGCACAGUUUAAAGCCUGCCAGGCCUAAAAUGUUUACUGUCUGGCCUAUUACAGAAGAUGUUUGCUGACCCCUGAUUUAGGGCAUUCAUGAGGCUUGAUGAGAUGUUGAAAAUCAGCUGUCUCCUCCCGUCACUCUCUUCUGAUUGUGGGUAGGCUCUGGUGCACCAGCUCUCCAGUGAUCUCCUAUCUGACGCUCAGAGUUCUUUUUCCAUUGCAUGGAUGUCAAAUAAAAGUGUCUGCUUUGUGGCAUUUCUGGCUUGAGAGUACCUGCCCAAUGUGAUUGGCCAAGGUGCCAUUUUAUCAAAAGUCUUAGGAUGACUGGAUGGGUUUGCCUUGAAUUUGUUUUGCCUUUGCUGAUGGUUGUAUUUAGGUUAUCAUUGAAAGAGGAUUGCAGAACAGCGGCAGUUUCCUGUGCUGUCUGGAUUGAAGUUGAAUAAUGCCCUAACUUUUAAUUGAAAGGGACUGUUGUAGGCAGGAGACUGUCUAGGAGCUGACCUAUCACCACCACCUGAGAUGUCUGAGCCCACCCUUGGACUUUCUUGGCACGUGGGGAAGAGGGGGCCUGGGUCCUGGGGUCCCAGCUAAACUCAGCAGACCCCACUGGCAGGUGUAUGUUGUGGGGGUGAUGGAGGCUUUUUGGAGGGCAUUGAGCUCCUUGGGUGGAGGUGGGGUGGCUGCCUUGGGGGCUCAGUGCAGCUCUGGCCAUGAUGGACAGAAGGAGACAAGAAUGUAGCUUCUUGUUCUGAGAACUUCAGCCCAAGUUCCUCCUUUCUUGCAGCAGAAUCCAAGACACUGACUUGCCCCUCUCUGCUGUUGAGGCUUCUGUGUUGCAGAGAUACCUUCUGGCCCUGCUUUAUCCUAGUGAGGCAGCUCACCUCUCCCGUGUUUCACUGCUCGAACUCUCCUUCCCAAGGCUGUGCUAGUGGUAGUGAUGACAAUAAUAGCUACUAUUUAUUGUGUGCCCCUCGUAUGCUAAGUGCUUCACGUAGAUUAUAUAAUUUAAUACUUGUCACAACAGUCUUAUGAGGUAAAUACUGUAUAUAUAUUUAAAAAGACUAUUUUUAGAGCAGUUUUAGGUUCACAGCAAAAUGUAGAGGAAGUUUCACAGAGAUAUCCCAAGCACCCCUUGCCAUUUUCUCUUAGUUAUGAAAAUGAUCAAAUGGGCUGAGUGUGGUCCCAGCACUUUGGGAGGCCAAGGCGGGUGGAUCACCAGAGGUCAGGAGUUUGAGACCAGCCUAGCCAAGAUGGUGAAACCCUGUCUCUACUAAAUACAAAAAAUUAGCUGGGUGUAGUGGCACAUGCCUAUAAUCCCAGCUAUUUGGGAGGCUGAGGCAGGAGAAUUGUUUGAACCUGGGAGGUGGAGGUUGCAGUGAGCCGAGAUUGCGCCAUUGCACUAUAGCCUAGGCAACAAGAGCAAAACUCUGUCUCAAAAAGAAAAAAAAAAAAAAAGAUCAAAUAGACUUCCAAGUGCCCAUGUCUCAGGUUCAGUACUGAUCAGCAUUUUACCCACCUUUGCUUCAGCUCCCUCCUGUCAUUGCUCAUUGCUGAGAGUGGGUAAGGUGCUUUCUCAGGUUCCUGUAGCUGGUAGGAUCCCGCUGUCCUCAAAGUUCCUGCACUCAGUGACUGACGGUGCCAGGUGACUCCCCCUUUUGGGGUCCAUGACAUUUGCUGCUGUUUCUAAAGCCCCUACUGUGUGCUGCUAAUCCCCUCACCAAGCUUGCAGAGCGGAUGGUAACUGACAGGUGAAAAAAUGCAAGAAGUGAGGUCACGGGUCCGGGGACAUCCUGCUAAUAGGUGGUGGUGCCAGGCUUCAAACUCAGGCCUGACUUCAAGUCCCGCAGCUUCUCUGCCCCACCCUGUCUCUGUCCUCCUCACCUCUGUAGUGUGGUGGGACUCGGUGGGGUGGUCGUUUGACUGUGGGAACUUCUGUUUGCAAAGCCUUGGAAGGACCCAGGUGACUGCAGAUAGUUCCGUGAGAAGCAUCUGGGACUGUUGACCUCACUGCUGAUCUUCCUUGUGGGCCUGUGAUAGGGCUAACCCUUGGCUUUCUGGCCAGAGUGUAGACAGAGACCCGAUUAGCAUUUUGUGGUCAGUCAGAGGCAGUUUGUGAACCUGGAACUUGGAAGCUGGUGUCCUCCUCUGGGAGGGAUGUGGAGCCUGGGGAGCCAGGAAGGCAUGGACUGAAUAUACACCCAGCUGGGCAGUGGGGAAGGGAGGAUUCCGUGGGGAGCUAGCCCUGAACACAGCAAGCAUUUGGUAAAUGGUGCCUGUUAGCUGUUUUUAUCCGUAUUCUAAGGUGGACGAGCGGCGCAGGAGAGAACUGGUAGGAUUAAUGGAGUGGUUUCAUUAUUCAGAUUUAAGUGCAUGCAGCCAGAAGUCUUCAACUGAAGAAUUGAAACUCUCUGCUCUUUUUUGGGGGUCAUGGUGGUGGCAGUGUGAGGGGCUGGUUCAUGAGUGAGGAGAAAAGGUAGUGGCAGGCAGAAUGGUACAUUUUAUAUUCAUAUUGUGCACAUUAUUCACACCUGACAUGGGCCAGAAAUCCUCUCCUAAGAGAGACACUUAGAAAGUAAACAGUUUGUUAAUCAUUUCAACCCGUGGACUUUGGUUGCAAGGUGCAUUUUGAUCAAGGGUUACAAACACCAAUGUCUUCAGGGACAUUUGGGGACAUAAAUAAAUGGAAUGGACAAAAAGAUGGAAAAGCAUACUGCCUCUCAGUCUUUCGCAUGCUCAUGUUUGAUAGAGAAAAUCAACAUCGUGGGGGCAGUGUUGCUUGGCAACUGCCAUUUGUCCUCAGCGUUGGGGUGACAUUACUAGGGAAUGGCUGUGAACUCCAAGCACUUCCCCCCGGGAAGCGAGGCUGACACUCAGAUCCAAUUCAUGUCUUUAAUGUGGCCAAAUGAGAAAGCCAGAUGUAUUUCUGAGAAGCCAAAAAACAAGAUUUAAAAAAUGCUAUCUCCCUAAUUUUUUUUUUUGAGACAGAGUUUUGCUCUUGUUGCCCAGGCUGGAGGACAGUGGUGCGAUCUUGGCUCACUGCAACCUCUGCCUCCCAGGUUCAAGCGAUUCUCCUGUGUCAGCCUCCCGAGUAGCUAGGAUUACAGGCCACCGUGCCCAGCUAAUUUUUGUAUAUAUAUAUUUUUCAGUAGAGACGGGGUUUCACCAUGUUACAGGCCAGGCUGGUCUUGAACUCCCUUGAACUCAGGUGAUCCACCUGCCUCAGCCUCUAAAAGUGCUGGGAUUACAAGUGUGAGCCACUGCACCUGGCUUCUAUCUCCCUAAUUUUUAAAUACUUAAGAUUUUAAGAAACAUCACAGGUCAAGCAAUGCAUGGCAGUGGGCUAGAUUCAGACAGGGGAGCCUCAAUUUAGGACCCCCAGAUUUAUCAUACAAGGUGGAGGAAGGGUUCAGAUAGGGACUUGGGGAUUGCCAACUCUGACCCUCUCUUCAGAUGAAGAGAUUAGCCCUGUGGAGGAGUCCAGGAUUUGUAUUUUAGUCUUGGUACUAGGUGUUCUGGGUUGAGUCGCUAGACCAUUCUGGGACAAGUUGCUAGACCAUUCUGGGACUUACUUUCUUCCUCCAUAAAGUCAAAGGGUAGGUAGAUCACACAUUUUUCAAGUGUGCUCCUUGAGGUGUGUCAGGGGUUCCAUAAGCAUUUGCUUUCAGUUUUAUUAAAAGCAACCUGUACUCUCAAAUUUGAGUAUAUUUGAAAUUGUAAUGAGAGCAGUUGCUCAGGAUGGAGUGUGGUGGCUCAUGCCUGCCCCGCACUUUGGAAACCUGAGGUGGAGGAAACCUUCAGGCCAGGAGUUUGAGACCAGCCUGGGAAGUAUAGGGAGACCCCAUUUCUACAAAAAACAAAAAUAUUAGCUGGGUAUAGUGGGACACGUGUAGUUUGAACUACUCGGAAGGCUGAGGCUGGGGGAUCGCUUGAGCCCAGGAGUUUAAGGCUGCAGUGAGCUAUGAUUGUGCCAUUGUACCCUGGCCUGGACCACAGAGUGAGAUCCUGUCUCAAAAAAACAAAAAACAAAACAAAAACAAAUUAAAAAACAAAACAAACCAAAAAAACCAACCAACACAUUUGCCCAAAUAGUGAAUCACAUCAAAUUUUAAAAUUCGCUGGAAACUAUCUGCUUCUUAAUUUGAUUAUACAUCAAUUAUGUUCAAAGUAAAAAACAAGAUAAUUUGAAACAGCUGCUUUUAUCCAGGUGUAUACACGGUGUAUACAUACACAGAUAUGUAUGAAAUGUGGAACUCUAUACCCGUAUGUAUGGAGUUCCUCAUAAGAGUCUUUUUGAGAAAAUAGUUCCAUUGCUAAAAAUACCCAAUGGAAACUUCUGGCCUGGGAUUUCCAAGUUCACCCUCGGCUGUGCGUCUCAAAGUCCACACAGCCUCACCAAAAUAGCCCUUCUGGGUACUUUUUUCUGUGUGCUCUUGGAAGAGGCCAUCGUGCCUCCAGCUCCCUAAGGCGGAAGAUGAGCCAGGGGGAUCUUGGCAGGGUGGUUGGUUCUCGUUCCUUCCACCGAAGCCUUCCAUGGCAGUUUUGGGACCUGGAAUUGUGAAUUAUUCUGCCUCUUCCCCACAGUCCCUGAUGACAGCACGAAGUUCAGAGAGUUUAUUUGCAGAUGAGGCAGGGAAGCCGGCCUGUUCUCAUCUUGCUGUGCCUGAUGCCUUGUGCUUGGGGCACUGUUCACUGUGCUGCCUGCUGGCCUGCUUGUCUCUGCCUUUUGGACGGGAGAUAGGCCACCCCACAGUGCCACACCUGCCUUCAGGGAAGCUUUUGGGUGUUCCUUGUCUGGCUUCUGGGUUCAGUGGGAGGGCCCACCCAGCCUGUCAUUUUAAUGAUUUACCUUAGAGGAACCAGUUUUAUAGGGAGUUGUUGGAUAAUCUUCACAAGGCAGAUAAAUGGGAGAGCAGGAAGAAUGAUGGCCUUUCAGAGUUGAAAUCUGUGCUGCUCCAAAUCCCAUAAACUGCUAUUUGAUUUUAAACAUUGCUUGAAGCAGUUCACAUUUUGGUUAAUUACGUCAGUGGGUAAAAAUAACUAUUGUCAUAUGGUGUGUGGGCUUGGCUUUAGAAGGAUAAAGAGUCUAUUGUUACCCAUUGUGCUAUUCAGUCACUUAUUACCCAUCCUUAAAAGCCCAACGUGGAUAACAGAAAACCUGGAGAGCUUUGUCACUUGCUGAAAUCCAGGCUGCCCUGUGAAUUUACCUCCAAACACUGCUCCUUUUGAGAAACUUGUACAAGCUGCCUUAAUUCAGUCAAUUCAAAUGGGUUGAUGGGGGCUGUUCCCAAGGCCCAGGACAGGCAGGGGUUUGUGACCUGCAGCCCUGGAACUGCCUUUGGGUUUCAUGGUCUCAGUUGAGACCUGCCCAGGGUUGAACCAGCUUAGUGCUCCCUGGGGGUGGUUAAGGUCAAGGACUUCAGGGUCCGAUUGACCUGGGGCUGAAUCUUGACCUGGGGCUGUAAGAUGCUCGGUCAGGACCUUAACUUUUCCAAGGCUCGGUGUCUACAUCUGGAAAAUGGGGAUAAACACAGUUCCUCCCUGCUGGGAUUAUUGUAAGGCUUGAAUGAGAUGAUAAAUACAACAUCUGACUUGCGACUGGACAGUAGUAAAGGGUUUAGUUAAUAUUAUAAUAAGUAGAAUGGAACAGCAUUAGAUUCUCACACAGGGUCACUAUGUUGUUUUCUCCCAUUCUACCCCUGCAUAUUACCCUGAAGCACCCCCAAGCCUCUCCCUCCCCAUCCCUCAAGCCCCUCCCUCCCCAUCCCCCAAGCUCACCAGGUCCUGGCGCACCCAGAUCUUUCACUGCUUUUCUUGCCUGUGAGCUCUUGGGGAGUCAGGACCACCUUAAGCACCCUCUGCAUCUUUGGCACCUAACCUGGGGCCUGGGGCCCUGCAGGGCCACAAUUAGCAGCAUGGACAACAGCAUGGACGGAGAGGGUCUCAGAGCCUGGAGAGCUCCUAGGGGCUGGAGCAGUCACAGGAAGUCACCAAGUGAAUUGAAGGAUGGUGGCUUUGGAGGUUCAGUGAGGCAAGAAGAAGGCUGUUAGGCUGGGAAUUAAGGAACCUUGUGUUGUUCGAGUCUCAGGACAACUCAGAUAUGGGGUCUGUAUUGCAAAUGCCCCUGCGUCAUUUUACAACUGAUGAAAACAAUGGCUCCACGAGACCCUCAAGUGCCAGAGCUCAUGAGUGACAGUGGAAGUUGAGCUAACCUUUUAACCACCCUAGUCCACACCUGUCAGGCUGACGGGCUUUCAGUGGUGAUGUGUUGGGAGCUCUGUGCCGCAGAUCUCUGUGUGCUCCUGAGACUCUGCCCGCCUGUCUCCACCCUGCUCUGCCCACUAGGAGGAGGCUGACCUUUAUGUUCUACACCAGUGGGUGCCCUUGGCCUCCAGCUUCCAGUGGGCCAGUCUGGCGAGAGACCCUAGCUGGAGAUGAGGGGAGGCAGCCUUGGCCUCUCUCCUUGCCCUUCCUCGCUGCUGCUACCCCAGGAUUCUUGCCCAUCCCUUACUGGUUUUACUUAACCCCACCCUCACCCUUGAAAACAGACUCUUUAAAACUCUCCUCACUCACCCUUAUUGAGUGUGUCAUCUGCUCCAGCUAGGAUAUUGGCUAAUACCGCAUGUUUCAGAAAGAAAAAUUCGCAGUUCUAUUUAUUUUUUUACUGUGGAUUGAAGGGAGAGGCAACCAGGUAUAUGGAUGAAGGAGUAGGGCCUGGCCGUCACCACUGGUGUUCACAAAAGGCUCCCGUUUAAGGCCUCUUAUAUUCCAAAUGAGGGGUUAUAGGUCGAGUCAGGGCGUUGCUCUAACAGAAGCAAAACCAAAAAUACACGGCCGUAGAUACAACCCUGUUCUGGUACUUCCUAAUUUUGUGUGUACAUGUGUGCACCUGGAGCUUCAAGAAAUGAAAAUGGAAAUGGCCUGAGUGUUUCUCAGCCCUAGGAUGAGGCUGUUUCUGUGAUUUAGGGCUGGAGAUUAUGAGGACUUGGUUUACAAUAUGCACAGUACAGAAGCGGGGAAGUCAAGGUGUGCUGGGCAAGGAAACAUCUUUAUGUGACCCACAAAGAAUGAAGCAGAGGGAAGAACCAGAAGUUAUUCUGGUUUGCAGACUGGGAGACAGGUUUAAUGACACAGUCAUGUCAGAGAGAGGGGAAGAGGAGAAUACGUAGGGGGUCUGUUUUGAUGUGUAUGUACAUGUAGGAUUUUCAUGUAGAGGAGUUGGGGAAAAUUUUAGAAGUUUUAGGUGUAAAUGCAGCUGGUAAGAUCCUUGUGACUUAGUUUCUUUUUUUUCUUCUUUUCUUUCUUUCUUUUUUUUUUUUAAGACAGAGUCUCACUCUGUUGCCCAGGCUGGAGUGCAGUGGCGCGAUCUCAGCUCACUGCAACCUCCGUCUCCCCAGUUCAAGCAAUUCUCCUGCCUCAGCCUCCCAGACUGCUGGGAUUACAGGUGCAUGCAACCACACCUGGCUAAUUUUUGUAUUUUUAGUAGAGUUGGGGUUUCACCGUGUUGGCCAGGCUGGUCUGGAACUCCUGACCUCAGGUGAUCCACCUGCCUUGGCCUCACAAAGUGCUGGGAUUACAAGUGUGAGCCACUGCUCCCGGCCUUAGUUUUUGAGUGGGAAGAAUCUAGUGUUCAGAGUGGACCACUGAUGUCAUAGCUGCAGGUUUGGCUGAAUUGGGAUGGUGCAGAAAGCCGUGUUAACCAUUUCUUUUUCUCUGAGGCCUGGAGGAGGAUCCUUGUGACUGGAACCACAGUUGGGACUGGCAGUGGUUUUUCCUGCUGGCAAGGAAAAAAAAAAAAAAGAGAAAAGAAAGAGUUCGACUUAUCAGCACAAACAAAGCAGGAUGUGAAACUAGAACCAUCUCUAGGGCAGUUCUAGCAAUGAACAAGGCUGGAAGGCUCACCGGCGAGGGGUUUCCCCUCAGGAAAGGGGACAGAGAAACUUCCACCUCCUGGGUAGCAUUGGGUGUUCCUGGGCACAUCUGGGUGACUAACGGGUUUUCUGCCACACAACUGGGGUAUAUAGGGAAGUCUUUGGCCAGAACUGUGGGCCGUACUGCAUUCUUCCCGUGUCUGUCACUGCUGAGUCGUGAGCUUGAUCUCUUUUCUUAGUGUUUGCUCCUUUUGUCCAGCUAUGGGGGCCAGCAGAAGCAUUGGGUCAUCUGUACCAGUGACUUUGCUGUGAAGAUGUAAGGGAGAGUGGUUGAGGUCAAGAUCUGGGUUCUGGUUCUUGUGCCUCCUCUCUGGCUGUGUGUCCUUCAACAAGCCGCUUACUGUCUCUGGGCCUCCGUGCCCUCUGCAACUGGGUUGUUGGUCUAUUUAAAUACUUGGAGAAAAAAGCUGGGCAUGGUGGCUCAUGCCUGUAAUCCCAGCACUUUGGGAAGCCAAGGUGGGAGGAUUGCUUGAGCCCAGGAGCUUCUGACCAAUCUGGGCAACAAAGUGAGAUGCUGUCCCCGUACAGAAAUAAAAAAAUUAGCUGGGCAUGGUGGUGCAUGCCUGUAGUCCCAGCUACUUGGGAGGCUUAGGUGAGAGGAUCGCUUGAGCAUGUGGGAUCAAGGAUGCAGUGAGCUGUGAUUGCACCACUGCACUCCAGCCUGUGACAGAGUGAGACCUUGUCUCUUAAGAAAAAAGUUAUUCAAAAAAUACUUUGGAAAACAAUGCUGGGGAGAGUAUGAGCUUCAGAUUGCACAUUGGUUUCUAUCAGGAGGAUCUGAGCCUCGGUGGUGUUACCUGUAAAAUGGGGAUAAAAA